rnacentral:lncRNA from 1 species
AGAACAUCCAGCUUUUCCACACAGGUUCUGGGGAUCAAACUUAAGUCCUUGCCUGCAUGCCAAGCUUCACUGAGCUACAUCCUCAACUUCAGCCUGUGACACCUUUAUCUUCAUAACAGCAUCUCCACAGGAAAUGGACGCAGCAGAAACUUUCAAGUUUCUCCAAAUCCCAAUCCCUCCUCCACCCUUGCUCUUGUCUCUCUUCAGUGCUGUCCGCUUGUCCAUCUGUCCCUAUCCCACCCUGCUGUCCUCCUGUUCUCUCUGGAUCCUGGAACUUCCCCUUUGUACUGGCUCCUGGGUGCCCCCGCUGAACACACCCUCACAGCGAGAACCCCCAGGCUUCAGGAGCCUGCUGUAUGGCUAUAGCUAAAAACACAAGCAGCAAGCAGCUCACUGAGCUGGUGCAGCCUCUGGCUGUUCCACACCUCACUGUCUACAAGUUUCUCAAUACACCUGAACCUAUGCGAGCCUUGUAGGAGCCACUGGCGGUUACUGCAAGUUCAGUGGUCAGGAUGGCUGGAAGAUCGCAGUUAGCAUUCCGAGAGGCAACCUAAACGUCUGCAGCCAGGCUAACUAUGGGGCUACAGGUUCCUUCCUAAGCACCCACCGCCUCUGGGAGAGAGCAGUGCAGUGACACGUUCUCAACAGUACCUGAAAUAGCCAAGCAGUUGUCCAGGCCCGGAGCCCAAGUCACCCGCAGCAGCUCUGGGUCAGGGCUGGGUUUGAACACCGGACACUGGGCUGAGCUCACAGGAUGACAGAGAUUCCGGGAGUCAAGGAGACAGAGCUGCCCAUCUGAGCCAAGGCUGGCAAUGCAGGGCCCAGGGCCUUGGCCCUUGUUCCUGACUUCUGCACACCAUCUCUCUCCACUACAGCCAGAGCCGGGGCUGACAGUCUCCAACGCUGCCCACUUCUGGCGGGUGUCCACAAGCCCCAGCCGACCUGAGUUGCCACAGAAAGCAAAGGUAUUUGCGUCUAGGACCUGAAGGCAGCUCAAGGACUCACUGUCAGCUGUACCUACAAGACAGAGGGCAAAGAAGAAACGGUGCUGGAGUCAGUCCUCAGGCCGCUGAGCCGCGCCCCGUGGAGGAUUCCUGGUGCCUUAGAGCAGAAGACAGACACCCGAGGCCAGAGACUCUCCUCUUUGUCCUGCACAUCGAUGGUACUGAC